rnacentral:rRNA from 1 species
UGCUUUUGAAACUGCUAAGCUUGAGUACUGUAGGGGAUAGCGGAAUUCCUAGUGUAGGGGUGAAAUUCGUAGAUAUUAGGAGGAACACCGGAGGCGAAAGCGGUUAUCUGGGCAGUGACUGACGCUGUUGCACGAAAGCGUGGGGAGCAAACAGGAUUAGAUACCCUGGUAGUCCACGCAGUAAACGAUGAGUGCUAGAUGUUGGGAUUUAUCUCUCAGUGUCGCAGCUAACGCAUUAAGCACUCCGCCUGGGGAGUACGGUCGCAAGAUUAAAACUCAAAGGAAUUGACGGGGACCCGCACAAGCGGUGGAACAUGUGGUUUAAUUCGAUGCUACGCGAAGAACCUUACCAGGCCUUGACAUGGUGAUCAUAUGGUUGUGAAAGC